UAUCUCUCAUCUCUCCUAUUUUAUAGUUAUAUUAUUUCAUUGAGGAUAAUGUAUGUUUUAAGUGUGGGGGAGGGAAUCAUUUACUUUGUUUUAUUUUAUUAAGUUUCUUUGUUUUUGUUUGUUUUUCUUACAUGAAAAAAUGCACGUUUUUUCUGUGGUUUUUGAGUUACAAUUAUGAGUAUUUUCUUUGUUCUCUUGAUUAAGGAAUUGUGGUGUGAUGUGAGUGAUUCUUUUUGUGCAUUCUUAGUAUGAUAUGUAGGACUAAACUCUAAUGUGUACAUCAUUUAUGGUAGAUCAAUUAACCUUGUGAUAUUUUAAGUCUUUUAAUAGAUAACAUUCAAAAAUUCAUGUCUUUUUUCUUUUUUGAUUUCACGCAUGUAUGUUAGUCUCUAAAACCUCAAUUUACUCUUUUU
rnacentral:lncRNA from 1 species